GUUGGUAUGUUGUGAUCCUCUGGUAUUGUUUAUAAUCUCCUUUUAAGUAUUUCUCAUAAACUGACUCAUAUGCUCAUUGAUCUUGGAGGCUAUGAUGCUUGAUAGGACCUUCCAUGUUUUUGUUUUUUUUUGGUGGGGGCAGGUGAUUGAUUAGUAGUUAUAUGGUGUUGUUCCCUUGUGAGGUUUCUUCAUGAACAGUAUAGUUUGCCUUGUGUUAGCCAGUCAGAGUAUCUGGCUCAUUUGUGCAGCCAGCUAGCAUAGCUGGCAUUCAUACAGUGUUGUUAAAUAUUAUAUCCAUAGGUAUGGAUCAUAUCAUAAGUAGUUUUUUUGGAGGGUUAUAUAGAUUAGAGGUUAUUUCUGUUGCUUUGUAUGGUGCACCAUAACAUAUUGGUAAUAUUUCUCUCCCAUUAACACUGAACCUACAUUCACUUGUUCAAAAUUGAAGAUGACAUUACACGUUUGUAU